UGGGGAAUUUUGGACAAUGGGCGAAAGCCUGAUCCAGCAAUGCCGCGUGUGUGAAGAAGGCCUUCGGGUUGUAAAGCACUUUUGUCCGGAAAGAAAUCCUUGGCUCUAAUACAGUCGGGGGAUGACGGUACCGGAAGAAUAAGCACCGGCUAACUACGUGCCAGCAGCCGCGGUAAUACGUAGGGUGCAAGCGUUAAUCGGAAUUACUGGGCGUAAAGCGUGCGCAGGCGGUUUGCUAAGACCGAUGUGAAAUCCCCGGGCUCAACCUGGGGACUGCAUUGGUGACUGGCAGGCUAGAGUAUGGCAGAGGGGGGUAGAAUUCCACGUGUAGCAGUGAAAUGCGUAGAGAUGUGGAGGAAUACCGAUGGCGAAGGCAGCCCCCUGGGCCAAUACUGACGCUCAUGCACGAAAGCGUGGGGAGCAAACAGGAUUAGAUACCCUGGUAGUCCACGCCCUAAACGAUGUCAACUAGUUGUUGGGGAUUCAUUUCCUUAGUAACGUAGCUAACGCGUGAAGUUGACCGCCUGGGGAGUACGGUCGCAAGAUUAAAACUUAAAUGAAUUGACGGGGUCAUAGCUGUUUCCU
rnacentral:rRNA from 1 species